UAAUAAUCGAUUGAGUGGGGUUGUUUCUGAAAUUCACUUCGCCAAACUCUACAAUCUAACCCAAUUGUUCUUGUCUGAAAUUCACUUUAAUGUCAGCCGUCAUUGGAUUCCUCCCUUCCAAUUGGAGUAUUUGCUUUUAAGAUCCUGCUGCAACAUGGGACCCCAAUUCCCAAACUGGCUUCAAACACAAACACAUCUUCGAUGGUUAUCUCUUAGAAAUUCGAGUAUAAGAGAAAGCAUACCAGAGUGGUUUCAUAACAUCUCCUCUCAUCUUCAGUGCUUGGAUCUGUCCGACAAUCAGAUCCGUGGAAAUUUACCACGGAUAAAUACCAACAACACAGGGAACAACGGACUAUGUGGAAAACCACUGCCAAGAAAUUGCAAAGAAAGCAAUUUAUUAUACACUCAUGUUGGUGAUGGUGAAAGUAAAGAUAGUUUACAUGGUUUGUCAUGGUUUUAUACCGGUAUGGUCUCGGGUUUCGUUAUUGGAUUUAUGGGACUUAUUGGUAGCUUGCACUUUAUUAGGAUUUGGAGGAUAACUUACUUUGAAAUGAUAGAGAAUGUUUGCAGUUGGCUAACUAUUUCAAUUCUAGUGACUCUCGCUCGAAUUAAAAGGAAGUCUUUCUAAUGAGGUAUAAUACUUUUGGAUUCACAAAAAACAUUUUUUUUUCUAA